rnacentral:rRNA from 1 species
UUUAUUAAAUAAUUAUUUAUUAAUAUGAAUAAUAUUAAUUAAUCACUAUUUUGGCAGAUAAGUGUAAUAAAUUUAGAUUUUAUAUAUGUGAUUUUUCACAAAUAGUAUUGUAUUUAAUUGAAAUUAUUUUAUUUAUUAUUAGAAGAUUAUUAUUAGUAA